GGUAGUUUCACUUAAAGAUUUUUUUUUUGAUUGAAUCAGAAUUUUGGCCUUCAGAUUUUUUGGCCUUGGUUUUUUGUCCUCUCCCAUCCAGGUCAGUGCAGAGUUUCAUAGGAUCACGACCCUGAACCUUGAACCAAAGUUCAUGUCAUCAUUGGACUUGUAUUCAUCCAAACUCCUGUCCUUGUUUCAAGCCAAGAAAGGUGCUGCUGGACAACGCCACAGGGCACAGUUAAACCUUCUGCUUCAGAGUGGAAAUUCCAUCGAGAAAAACGAGAAGUCAUCAUCAGAUGUCUCAUUGACCAUCUGGGAGAGGAUCCAAGUGCCUUAAUCAAAACCUUUGAGGACGGUGCUGAUGCUGUCUUUGUUGAAGAGGCUUUGGCUGAGGAGGUGAUGAAGAUUUACCUGCUGUAGAAUCAAGACAGGUCAGGCGAACCUACUGAUGUGUGGGUAUUGUUAUUGAAGGCGUUACUGUUCUGGGCAAACUUGGGAAUCUGAGCAAAGCCUGUUGCUAUCUUUUGGGACUGUGCUAUGCUCUGGAUCUGAAACACCCCAAGAAUCUCAAAUGCACAUUUGAAGCAUUUCAAAAAGUGUUCAUGGAGCUGGAUCCAGGAAACCUUUCUGUCAAGGUUCAAAGACUGAAAAAUGACCUCUGUUCAUUGUAGACAAAAUUUCACAGGGCUGUUCUUAAAGUGUUAGACUUGUUAAGUGACAUGUAAUGCUCAUCAAAAGGUUCAGUUGCGGCAUUACAUUGUGUUGACAUUCCUGUUCAUAAAUAAUGUUUGUACCAUAAACUGUGUUUUUGUAUUAACUUUCCAGAUUCACAUUAAGGUGUAAAUGGGAGAG